rnacentral:rRNA from 1 species
UACGUAGGGGGCAAGCGUUGUCCGGAUUUAUUGGGCGUAAAGAGCGUGUAGGCGGCCAGGUAGGUCGGUUGUGAAAACUCGAGGCUCAACCUCGAGAUGUCGACCGAAACCAUCUGGCUAGAGUCCGGAAGAGGAGAAUGGAAUUCCCGGUGUAGCGGUGAAAUGGCGCAGAUAUCAGGAGGAACACCGGUGGCGAAGGCGGAUCUCUGGGCCUUGCCUGACGCUGAGGCGCGAAAGCGUG